ensembl:lncRNA
CAUUAUUUACCCAUCCAGACCCUCAUUAAUUGUAGUGGCAAGAGUGUGAAGUGAAUGUGUCACUGACUGUGUGUCCUGUCAUCUCUGGUGCAGUUUGCCCCAAAGCCAAAGGAGUGGACGUGGAUGCACAGGGUAGUGUUAACGGAAUCCCUGUGUUGGAGGUCGACGUGGAGUCUUUUGAAGAAAAGCCAUGGAGAAAGCAUGACUCACACUUAACGAGGACUCCUGGAAAGCCUACUGUGAGAACCAGAGGAGAUUACGCAAGGUCAUGAACCACACUUCAGCCACUAAACUCAUGGUCCAGGAAUGGGACCUUCCCUGCUUUAGAUCUGACUACUCCUCCCCCAGCAACCACUACAAAUCAGCCUUGUCCAGAAAGACAAACGGCACCACCAAUGUUACUGGAGGACAAACUGGUACCAUCAGCCGGGUAGAGGAACAGAGAAGUCACAAUAUAGAAGGAAAUAACAUCCAGGUGCUUUCCAAGCCAUCUGACGCUGAGCCUACUCCCACUAAGAUGCCCCCCUUCUUCCCCCCGCCUCCUUUCCCGCCUCCACCCUACAAUGUCAACUCCGCCCCUCCACUCAUUCCUCCACCACGUGUGUGGGUGCCAGUGCUGUCAGUCUGUCGGACUUCCUCCUCAUCGCCUGAUGAAUAUGAGGCAGAGGGCAGGAAGUCCCCCCUGGCCUGAGCUCACAGCUGAGCGCAGGCUGCCAUCGCUUCAUCUUCAAAGAUUCCAAAAUAGCACCCCUCACACACUCCCAGCACCCCCUAAGUUCAAUGAGCCCGGUACCGACAUGUUGUUCAACCUGUGCCAAAUAUCCUAAUACAACCAAAAUAUCAAACAUCCUGUUGACCCGGCAAACCUGGCUUUCCUUCUUUAAGUUACAGGCUCUGCCUCCUUUUGUGAUGCAAAUGUUCAACGUGAUAAAAAUAGCUCCUGGAAGAAAAGAAAAGUGUAGAGCCAGCAGAUUGGAGGGAGAGAGAGAGAGCUUUGUUACUCUUGGUACCAUAGGGUCACAUUAGUGGUGUAGUAUUAUUGCUUGAUAGGGCCAGGUUUUAGCGUGGGGUUGUGUUGUCAUUGCAGGCCAGUCUGUGUAGUGAAGCACUAAGGGAUGUUGUCUGGAGCUCUAGUGUAGAACUGGUGGUACUGAUCAGUGUAGUUUGGCACAUACAUUGUGGUUAGUUUGACACCUGUACUGACUGAUAUGGCUGUGACGGUCUUGGAAUUUGAGGUUGCGGUAAUUGGCCAGGCCAAUGUACAGACACCAACAUAAUCGUUCAAGGAUAUGCAUAUGCUUCCUAAUAAAACCUAUUUGAAACAAGCCAUUACACUUCGUUAUCAUCAUGGCGUUUCAUUACUAUUAUUCAGGUUAUUACUUUUAAAUAUGAAUCAACAAAUUAAGAAAUGCCAGGUUGGGGAGGAUCUGUGGGAUUUUUGUAUCGACACAUCAUCAGCUGAGUCAAAAUAAAGAUAUUCCUACCUUGUCUGUUGGCUUUUCUGCAUAUAUACACAAUCAAUCAGUCAAAUCAAAUGUAUUUAUAAAGCCCUUUUUACAUCAGCCGAUGUCACAAAGUGCUAUACGAAUUUCUUUCUUUAUUUUACCUUUAUUUAACUAGGCAAGUCAGUCAAGAACAAAUUCUUAUUUUCAGUGACGGCCUAGGAACAGUGGGUUAACUGCCUGUUCAGGGGCAGAACGACAGAUGUCAGCUCGGGGGUUUGAACUUGCAACCUUCCGGUUACUAGUCCAACUCUCUA